rnacentral:rRNA from 1 species
ACCAAAGGCAUGGCAGAGUAGCUACGUUCGGACGGGAUAAGUGCUGAAAGCAUCUAAGUACGAAACCCACCCUGAGAUUAGGUAUCCCUGUCGCAAGACACUUAAGACUCCACGGAGACUACGUGGUUGAUAGGUCACAGAUGUAAGCGCAGCAAUGCGUUCAGUCGAGUGAUACUAAUAAGUCGUGCGGCUUGAUUUA